rnacentral:lncRNA from 10 species
AGCGACUCUCAUGCCUCAGGCUUCCAAAUAGCUGGGAUUACAGUGCAUUGGAAGCCACAGGAAGAUUUUUUUUUUUUUUUUUUUUUGGAUGGAGUCUCGCUCUGUCGCCCAGGCUGGAGUGCAAUGCGCCAUCUCGGCUCACUGCAACCUUCGCCUCCCGGUUUCAAGUGAUUCUCCGGCCUCAGCCCCCCGAGCAGCUGGGAAUACAGGAGAAAUUAAAUAUCAGAGUUGGAAAGGACAGAAGCAGCCUGAACUCUCAUCCAUAUGAACUCUGUACAACCAUUGUGGAGGGCCAUUGGCAGUACACAGUCAAGUUGAAGACGGAGUCUUGCUGUGUCGCCCAGGCGGGAGCGCAAUGGUGUGAUCUCAGCUCACUGCAACCUCUGCCUCCCAGGUUCAAGCGAUUCUUCUGCCUCAGCCUCCUGAGUAGCUGGGAUUACAGGCAUGUGCCACCAUGCCCGGGUAAUUUUGUAUUUUUAGUAGAGGUGAGGUUUCACCAUGUUGGUCAGGCUGGUCUUGAACUCCUGACCUCAGGUGGUCUGUCCGCCUCAGCCUCCCAAAGUGCUGGGAUUAUAGGCAUGAGCCACUGCACCCAGCUUGUCAUGCUCUUUUAACAGGGACCCACAGGAGAAGAUACAUUUACCAUCAAGACUAGCCUGCAUAAUGAAAAAGAAUGUUUUACUGAAAUGCUGUUAUUAAAGGGCUGCAUUCCAAUAUU